UACGGGGGGAGCAAGCGUUGUUCGGAUUUAUUGGGCGUAAAGAGCGUGUAGGCGGCCAGGUAGGUCUGCUGUGAAAACUCGAGGCUCAACCUCGAGACGUCGGCGGAAACCAUCUGGCUAGAGUCCGGAAGAGGAGAGUGGAAUUCCUGGUGUAGCGGUGAAAUGCGCAGAUAUCAGGAAGAACACCCGUGGCGAAAGCGGCUCUCUGGAACGGUACUGACGCUGAGACGCGAAAGCGUGGGGAGCGAACAGG
rnacentral:rRNA from 1 species